UGCGUCAUCCUUGUUUUCUCAAUUUACGAAAUUAAGAUGAAUAUUAUUUCUUAUAUUUAUAUAUAAAGAGACAGAUUGACUUUGUUGGUUGAUUCUUAUUAUCACAGAACAGAUCUAAAAGCUGGGUACCAAGAAAGAAAAGGGAAGAUGGAUGAAAUGGCUGCAAAUCCAAUGAAUGGAGGAUCUGGCCUCUACAGCUACACCAGAAACUCAACCCUUCAGAGAAAAGCCAUAGAGGCUGCAGAAGAACUAAUCAACAAGGCAAUUCUUGAGAAACUUGAAAUCAAUAACUUUUCUUCUUUAAAAACCUUUCAAUUGGCUGAUUUGGGGUGCUCAGUUGGACCUAACACAUUCUUGGCUGUCCAAAACAUAGUUGAUGCUGUGAAGCUCAAGUAUCAAAGCCAAAGACGUCUCGAUUCUCAGCAACUUCUUGAAUUCCAAGUCUUCUUCAAUGAUCAUAUGUCCAAUGAUUUCAACCAGCUUUUCACAGCUCUUCCUCCGGAAAGGAGAUACUUUGCCAUGGGCGUGCCAGGCUCUUUCCAUGGUCGCUUGUUUCCGAAGGCAUCUCUACACUUUUUCCACUCUUCUUAUGCUGUCCACUGGCUUUCUAGAGUGCCAAAAGAGAUGGGGGACAAGACCUCUCCUGCUUGGAACAAAGGGAGUAUCCACUACUCAAAAGCUUCAGACGAUGUUUUCAGGGCUUAUGAAGCUCACUAUGUGAAGGACAUGGAGAGGUUUCUAAUUGCUAGAGCAGAAGAGAUUGUGUGUGGAGGACUUUUGGCCCUUAUUCUUCCAGGUUUCCCCAAUGAAAAGCACUAUUCUGAAGCUUUUUUGAGCAGGAUAGUACAUCUUUUGGGAUCUUGCUUAUUGGAAAUCGCCAAAAAGGGAAAAGAAAAGGGGAAUUUGGUCCGAUACCUUUAUUUUGAACACCUUAAUGAGAAAUACCCUCCCUCUUUUAAAUCUUUUUUAUCUACCCACCCUCUUUUCAUUAUUCCAACCUUACCCUUACUGUAUAAACCACGUACAAUUUCUUUCUCACUCUUAUCAAUAUCCCACCUACCGCAUUUCAUAUCCAAUUUCCCUCUUUCUUUCUUUCUUCUCGUAGUGCUUUCUGAUGUUGGAUUCGAAGGACGAUCUUGAAGCUGUGGAAGGAGGUUUUAUGCUUAAUUUCAGGCGUCCAAAUGGUGGACCAUAACACACACGACAUUGAUUCUGAAGCAGUGGAGAGAGAGAGAGAGAGUUGCAGGGAGCUUUUGUGAGAUUAGUUUACUGAUUUCUUUCUUCGACCAUAGGCUUGGAAUCGAAUUAUGAAAUCACUCGGACCGCUGAGUUCAUUAGCAGUGGCGGCUUCACCAGAGUCGCUUUACAGUUCAUCUCCCAGAUGAGAUCCUAAAUGAGUCGGUGAUAGUUGGGAGUGUUUUACUGGACAAGAUUUGGUGUCUACGAGAAUCUCAAUUCGAUAGCGAUUGGAAUGGCAACGUAAAAGAUGUAUCUUUGUUUAUGAUGGCC